rnacentral:rRNA from 1 species
GACGAACGCUGGCGGCGUGCUUAACACAUGCAAGUCGAACGGAAAGGCCCUGCUUUUGUGGGGUGCUCGAGUGGCGAACGGGUGAGUAACACGUGAGUAACCUGCCCUUGACUUUGGGAUAACUUCAGGAAACUGGGGCUAAUACCGGAUAGGAGCUCCUGCUGCAUGGUGGGGGUUGGAAAGUUUCGGCGGUUGGGGAUGGACUCGCGGCGUAUCAGCUUGUUGGUGGGGUAGUGGCUUACCAAGGCUUUGACGGGUAGCCGGCCUGAGAGGGUGACCGGCCACACUGCAAGUGGGACCGGGGCCAGACGCCUGCGGGAGGCAGCAGUAGGGAAGCGUCCGCAAUGGGCGGAAGGCUGACGGAGGAACGCCGUGUGAGUGCUGAAGGUCUUCGGAUCGUAAAACUCGGUGAGUAGGGAAGAACAAAUGUGUAAGUAACUAUGCACGUCGUGACGGUACAGAAUCAGAAAGCCACGGCUAACUACGUG